rnacentral:tRNA from 1 species
GGCUUGUGGCUCAGUGGUAAAGCACCUGCCUAGCAUGUGUGGGGCCCUGGAUUCGAUCCUCAGCACCA